rnacentral:rRNA from 1 species
UGGGGAAUAUUGGACAAUGGGCGGAAGCCUGAUCCAGCCAUGCCGCGUGUGUGAAGAAGGCCUUUUGGUUGUAAAGCACUUUAAGCGAGGAGGAGGCUACUUGGAUUAAUACUCUAGGAUAGUGGACGUUACUCGCAGAAUAAGCACCGGCUAACUCCGUGCCAGCAGCCGCGGUAAUACAGAGGGUGCGAGCGUUAAUCGGAUUUACUGGGCGUAAAGCGUGCGUAGGCGGCUUCUUAAGUCGGAUGUGAAAUCCCUGGGCUUAACUUAGGAAUUGCAUUCGAUACUGGGAAGCUAGAGUAUGGGGGAGGAUGGUAGAAUUCCAGGUGUAGCGGUGAAGUGCGUAGAGAUCUGGAGGAAUACCGAUGACGAAGGCAGCCAUCUGGCCUAAUACUGACGCUGGGGUACGAAAGCAUGGGGAGCAAACAGA